GGUUUCGUAAAGGCAUCGGCAUCUGAAAACUGGUCUCCUGGGUAUCAGGUUCGAUACCGAAAUUGUCAGACAAAAGCUUCCCUGCUUUCAUUGUAUUUGCAAUCUCUGGAUUUUUAAGAUGGUCCUGUAAUGCAUGUGGGUCUUGCUGCAUUUGUUCAAGGAUGCAUCUCAUGGCUGGAUCCCGGAGUAUUUGCUGUACUUCUGGAUCUGACAUCGCUCGCUUACGGACCUGUGAACAAACAGACAGAAUUAAAUUAAUUGCAUUUGAUAAAUCAAUAUGUAAAUCACAAUUUCAAAAUUUAUUGAUAAAUAGAUGUUA